GUCUAUGGCCAUGCUACCCUGAGCAAGCCCGAUCCUGUCUGAUCUCGGAAGCUAUGCAGGGUCAGGCCUGGUUAGUACUUAGAUGGGAGACUACCUAGGAAAACCAGGUGCUGUAGGUG
rnacentral:rRNA from 1 species